GACGAACGCUGGCGGCGUGCCUAAUACAUGCAAGUAGAACGCUGAAGCUUGGUGCUUGCACCGAGCGUGUGAGUUGCGAACGGGUGAGUAACGCGUAGGUAACCUGCCUGGUAGCGGGGGAUAACUAUUGGAAACGAUAGCUAAUACCGCAUAAGAGUAGAUGUUGCAUGACAUUUGCGUAAAAGGUGCAAUUGCAUCACUACCAGAUGGACCUGCGUUGUAUUAGCUAGGUGGUGAGGUAACGGCUCACCAAGGCAACGAUACAUAGCCGACCUGAGAGGGUGAUCGGCCACACUGGGACUGAGACACGGCCCAGACUCCUACGGGAGGGAGCAGUAGGGAAUCUUCGGCAAGAGGCGGAAGUCUGACCGGGCAACGCCGCGGGAGUGAAGAAGGUUUUCGGAUCGGAAAGCUCUGUUGUAAGAGAAGAACGAGUGUGAGAGUGGAAAGUUCACACUGUGACGGUACCUUACCAGAAAGCGACGGCUAACUACGUG
rnacentral:rRNA from 1 species